GCAUGGUCAUGGACACAAGCACCGUGCGGCUGGUCAUAUUCCUCGGCAUGUUCCUCAUGCUGGCGGGCGACUACACUUACCUGAUCACCGCGAUUUUCGGCCGGUCGGGCGGGCAAAACGUCACGGAGCCGAGCAAAAGUCCCGAGAGCCAAGGGAGGAGCAACGAUCCCGAGGGCAGGUUAGCCCUGUCCGUCACCAAGAAGAUGGACGAGAAGGAGAACGCAAUUUCACGGCGUGCAAGAAUGAUGACGACGAUCAAGACUGCUUGUUUGCCCAAGCUGAUAUGCGAACUGACCUCGUCCGUCAAUCAGGAUCAGCUAAGCGAAAUGGAAAGGUCCCUGUUAAAUUUAAUCAGGGACACGAGCUUGAGCACGUUGGCGGAAGUGCCCUCGAGGUACCACUUCGCCGCGCAUAUGGGUCAACUGAUAUCCGGCGUGGAAGGUCAAGGAUGCCAUAAUUUCUACCCCACCUGUCCGCUGCCUGGAUCCAGCGUUCUCAACAUGAUGAAGAAGAUUCGAUUGCGCUGACGCGACGGAAUCGCGUAGAAAUGAAAGAGAGAGAGAGAAAGAGAGAGAGAGAGAGAGAGAGAGAGAGAGAGAGAGAGAGAACACGCCUGGAAAUCGAUCCUUGCCAUCGAAUCGAUCGCGCGCGACGAUCGCUCGGUCGGGAAGGAUGGGACAAACUCUCGAGCGAGGAAUACUAACUACGCGAGUCGAGGCCGACGUCGAUGGAAGAAAAGAAAAGAAGAAAAAAAAAAAAGAAAAAAAA
rnacentral:misc_RNA from 1 species